ACGUUUCGGGCAUAAGCCCUUCUUCAGGAAGACUCUGCACCAGAUCAUUAUAGCACUAAAUUAGAAGGACAUUGUAAAAUAUACAGGAGAAGAAAGUUGCAAGGGGACAUGCAGAUUGAGUGAAUUAAGAUUUUAUGGUUGAUAGUUCACCAGAUUGAUCCUGUAUUAUGUACAAGUAAAUAAAGGGUGACUUGGUGAUGGGA